GCGCCACCUCACUUCCAUUGCACCCAUUUGAAUUCAUGAGAAGGAACUUCUCAUGAAUUAUUUCCUCAUGCCAAGCCCUCUCCAUGCCCCACUUUAAUGUGCCAUAUGAAUGGAUAAGGAUGAUUGGUUGGCCAUUCAAAUUCAAAAUAAAGUUUGAAUUUGAAUGGGCAAUCAAUCUUUACGCCUUAUCCCUUUUUUUACGUCCCAUUUAUUAUAUGAGAAAAUAUUUCUCAUGAAAUCACUCCAUGCAUAAUUUAAGCCAUGCCCUCCUCUUCUCACACCUUUAGUAGAUAAGGGAUGAGUUGGUGUCCAUUUGAAUUCAAAAUUUGAUUUGAAUUCAAAUGUGCAAUUACUCAUCUUUAUCCUUUCAUUUGGAUAAGACAUUUGACAUUGUUAUAAAAGGAGGAGAAGAGUGGGGUGUGUGUAAAAGAAGAUUUUUGAAAAAAGAUUCUGGGGUGUGAGAAGUCUUGUGAAUGAGAAGGAAGUCCAUAUCCUUCCAAGAGAAAAAGAAAGAAAAGAAAGAAAAGUUGGUGCAAGAUUUUCGAUGAGUUCCCUAGAGUUUUAGCCUGGGGUUCGAGAAGUGAGAAAGUGAGCUAAGAGUGUCGUGAGCCCACAAAAUCUUAGGAAGAUCUUCAACAUCCUCUCAAGCAUGUCUAU
rnacentral:lncRNA from 1 species